AGCGGAAUACCUGAUCGGCAGGACUCACGGCUCGUGUCCGUGGGGUCGCGGGUUCGAUCCCCGCUCCCGCUA
rnacentral:tRNA from 1 species